GCCAGACUCCUACGGGAGGCAGCAGUGGGGAAUAUUGGGCAAUGGAGGAAACUCUUACCCAGCAAUGCCGCGUGAAUGAAGAAGGUCUUCGGAUUGUAAAGUUCUUUAAUUGGGGACGAAAAAAAUGACGGUACCCAAGGAAUAAGCUCCGGCUAACUACGUGCCAGCAGCCGCGGUAAUACGUAGGGAGCGGGCGUUGUCCGGAAUUACUGGGUGUAAAGGGAGCGUAGGCGGGACUGCAAGUUGGGUGUCAAAUCUACCGGCUCAACCGGUAGCCGCACUCAAAACUGCAGUUCUUGAGUGAAGUAGAGGCAGGCGGAAUUCCUAGUGUAGCGGUGAAAUGCGUAGAUAUUAGGAGGAACACCAGUGGCGAAGGCGGCCUGCUGGGCUUUUACUGACGCUGAGGCUCGAAAGUGUGGGGAGCAAACAGGAUUAGAUACCCCAGUA
rnacentral:rRNA from 1 species